rnacentral:rRNA from 1 species
CACGUAGGGCGCAAGCGUUGUCCGGAAUUAUUGGGCGUAAAGAGCUCGUAGGCGGUCUGUUGCGUCCGCUGUGAAAACUCGGGGCUUAACCCCGAGCCUGCAGUGGAUACGGGCAGACUAGAGGUAGGUAGGGGAGAAUGGAAUUCCCGGUGUAGCGGUGAAAUGCGCAGAUAUCGGGAGGAACACCGGUGGCGAAGGCGGCAUCCUGGACCAACACUGGCGCUGAGUGAGCGAAAGCCAGGGGAGCAAACGGG